CCUACGGGGGGCAGCAGUGAGGAAUAUUGGUCAAUGGACGGAAGUCUGAACCAGCCAUGCCGCGUGCAGGAAGACGGCUCUAUGAGUUGUAAACUGCUUUUGUACAAGGGUAAACCUGAAUACGUGUAUUCAGCUGAAAGUACUGUACGAAUAAGGAUCGGCUAACUCCGUGCCAGCAGCCGCGGUAAUACGGAGGAUCCAAGCGUUAUCCGGAUUUAUUGGGUUUAAAGGGUGCGUAGGCGGAUUGAUAAGUUAGAGGUGAAAUGUCCGAGGUUAACUCGGGAACUGCCUCUAAUACUGUUGGUCUAGAGAGUAGAUGCGGUAGGCGGAAUGUAUGGUGUAGCGGUGAAAUGCUUAGAGAUCAUACAGAACACCGAUUGCGAAGGCAGCUUACCAAUCUAUAUCUGACGUUGAGGCACGAAAGCGUGGGGAGCAAACAGGAUUAGAUACCCUUGUAGUC
rnacentral:rRNA from 1 species